AUACUUACCUGGCGCAAAGGUUACCGUGAUCACGAAGGCGGUUCCUUCAGGGCGAGGCUCUUCCAUUGCACAUGAUAUCGUGCGGGAUUUUAGGUUAAUAAUUGGUCUGUCGUGUUUUCGUGAUUUUACCGUAAUUUUUUAUUUCUC